UCCAACAUGGAGCUUUCAUCAGGACAGGUAACAUGUUGAUGUUACCUGUCCUGAUCAAAGCUCCAUGUUGGGGCUGAAACAUUGAUAUUUUAUAUGGAAUAAAUAAAGCUACAUUUUAUUUACCUGUCCUGAUGAAAGCUCCAUGUUGGA